AGAAGGAAGACAUCCUUGGCUUCAGGGAGAGCUAUAACAUCUCCAGCACUGAGAUGCAGUGAAUUAAUGAGCCCUCCUUGGAAGUGAAAAAAACACAUGAAACAAAGUUCCCUUUACUGUCCUGUCUUCAAGCCAGCUUGAGCUUCCCAGAGUAAGACUCUAAAAGCUCUCUCCCUCUGGAGACAAACUUCGUGGUUCAAGACUGAGUGCAGAAAUGAAGCAACCUGCCUGACACCACUGGCUCCCUGCUGAAUUUCCACAUGCGUGCUUGACAAGCCAUGUUCUGGUCAGGCAGAAAUUGCUCUGGGCACCAAACGUAGCCACUUACUGAGGAUAUCCCUGUAGUGGUGAGUGAAGGAUGAAAAGGGGAAAAGGCUCAGUGUGAAAAGUUACCUUUCCUAGAUGAAAAGGAAGGCAAAGAGAAGUUAAGCACAGUUACAGGCUUCUGUUAAUUAAACAGUGGCAAUGAAUAUCUGCUUCAGCAUCAAUAAACCAUGAGAUAUUUGCUAAGAGCCUUGUUGAGUAACUUCAGAAGUUUCUGCCAAACCUUGUAAGGUCUGUUUGGUUUGAAAUGACUUGUGAUGUGUCUGCCUGUCACAUAGACAAACGUCCCUUCAAGUAUGUGAGCUGUCUUUCCCAUGAGUCAGUUGUUGAAGAACACUGUAGACAGCCAGCUGGUGACAAUUCAGCCUGUGUUUAAAAAGUGGGUGAACAUUUGUUGAAAAUCCCAGGUAUUUGUUUUGGUGCUGCAGUGUUAGUCAAUGUGAGGUCUGUGAGAUACCAUCACGUAGGCUGCAGAUAUGUACCUGCCCUUAAAUGCAGCCAGUCUGCAAGAGGGAAAAUGCAAUAACUGAGUAUUUUAGGUUUAACUUGACACUUAGAUGUUUGCAAAUGAUGCAGAUGGGGAACCAAGAUACAAGACAGCUCCAUUUUUUAUUUUUAUUUUUUCAGAAUUGCCUGGUGGUUGCUGGAUUAAAAAUUGCUGAGAACCUUGUGCUUGUGAGUUGUGACCAACUGAGUGUUGUCCAUCUUUCACCCUGCUCAAAGCACAUGCUGGCUUUCUGAAUCCUGGCCUUGAAAUGGAGAGCUAAGGGAUCUGUCACUGUGUCUUGCUUGGCUUGACCCAGGGAGCAGUUUAGCCUUUUCCUAACAUGGCUGUUUCUAGAGUUUGCAUGACUCUGUGUAGCUGGACUAUGUUCUUCUUCUCCUGGUUUCUUUUUAUCGAAGUCUUUCUCAUUUGAUUUUUUUUUUUUUUUUUUUAUUAGAUGAGGUUUACAAGAAGGAAUUGACAUUAUAUUUCAAGGUUUGCUUCUGCUGUUGCAUUGGCCCACUGAUACCAUAUCCUCUGGGGUCAAACCUCUGGGCUAAGAGCCAGAACUUACAAAGAUUCUUUUGCAGGGUGUAGGAGUAUUUUGUCAUGUCACCCCCUCUGAGUUCACCCUCUCCCUCUUGUGCUGCUUGUUCCUUAUUUCACACUCCACCCCUACACCAUGGUAGAAGUGGCUGUUUUAGCCCUGAUUUUGAUACUUCUGCUCAGUCAUCUGCUUAGGAGGCAUUGAUGAUACUACAUGCAGCUUAAUCUCCUGCUGACUCAUUUUUGAGUUGCUGUAUGCCAUUAAGCCAUCUUUGAAUCUCACUGUGUCACAGCGGUAUACACAAGGAGUAAAUCCACUGAAGUCAGUCAAGUAACUAACACUAGCAUGAAACUGGAAUGACCAGAGAAUCAUGUCUCCUUUCUUGUAGCUUAUGUAUAGCAGAGAGGAGUGAAAGCCUCAAGUGAGCACAAACAAUUUAGAAAUUUGAUUUGCCUACCAAAGAGACUGGCCAAGGGUGCUGAGAAUGAUUUCAGAGACCACAAGCUGAUUUGAACUGGGUCGCUGGAGCUGCACAAACAUAGUGCGCAUUAUGCAUAAACUCGCUGAGCACUGAACCGGGACGUGCAGAAAUGUGCUUGUUUCACCUGGUUGGCUGGCCCUCUGAGGAGGGACUACGCUUUGUAGGCUGGAGUGAAGAGCAGAGGAGGCUGCUGAUACAAUUAAAUUACACCCUGUUUAUCUGUGAUUUAGGAGCAGUUACAGAAAGCCCAUCUGAAUUCACUUAAGACUUGUUAAUGCUGUGUUUAGAAUACAAUGGUUGGUGGGGACCAAAAGUUUGAAGCACAGAAAAGCAGCUCAGAAGAAAAAGCUGCCUGGACACAAGUGUACCGGUGUGCUCAAACACAUCACAUUCUUGUGCCUCCUCUACCUCACUUGUGGGAAAGAAAAAUAACAGUAGCUUUUAUUAGAAGCUGUUGAUUGUGGUCUCCUUCAGUGCAUUUCUGAAUCAUAACCUUGCAGAAAGCAUACCUCACCCAGCAGGAAUUUAGCAAAUCCAAUAACAGGCUUAUGAUGCUGGGUCUGAGAUCUUGCAGCUCAGCAAACUGUCGCCUGGCCAGCAGGCAGAGGGCUGCUCUCGUUCAUACUGAGAGCUGUGGUAUUGGUGUGGAAAGCUUGUGGAAGAACUUGGCAUUGUGUGCAGUUUCUAUGUGAAGUAUCUUGUCACAGAGGAGUUUGUAGAUAUAGAAACGUGGACUUAGAGCAGUUGAGGUGACCAAAUCAACCUUCCCCCACCACCACCUCAAAAAAAACCCUCCAAAACUUGGUCAGUGGCCACUGCAAUUUUCCUCAUGCUGUGUUUGUCACUCUUGCAGACUCAAUUUUUGACUGCUUCCUUGGUAGUUGUCCUCCUCUCUGAUUUUAAUCCAGCAACAAUGCUAAAAUGACGAUUUCUGUCUUUGCAAUCCUCCACUACUUUGCCAUCUAAGCAUUGAGGUUACAACAGUUGUUAAAUGUGCCAUGAGCAAAACCUGCUAAGAACACCAUGAUGAGACUGAGAGUAGACUUAUAGUGAUUUGAAUUAUUCUCUCAAGUUUUAUUUAGUGUUGUGUUUGUGGCAGUAGGUAUUUUAGCUGCCACAGAUGUGCAGUAAUAUUCUUAGUCCCAUGACUGCCCUUUCUUGUGAUGUUGCAGUUCAUUAAAAAUAAAAAGGA